rnacentral:rRNA from 1 species
AUUGAACGCUGGCGGCAGGCCUAACACAUGCAAGUCGAGCGAGCGGCGGACGGGUGAGUAAUGUCUGGGAAACUGCCUUAUGGAGGUGGAUAAAUACUGGAAACGGUAGCUAAUACCCCAUACCAUCAGCUGUGCCCGGUUGGGAUUAGCUAGUUGGUGUGGUAACGGCUCACCAAGGCUACGAUCCCUAGCCGGUCUGAGAGGAUGACCAGCCACACUGGAACUGAGACACGGUCCAGACUCCUACGGGAGGCAGCAGUGGGGAAUAUUGCACAAUGGGCGCAAGCCUGAUGCAGCAAUGCCGCGUGUGUGAAGAAGGCCUUCGGGUUGUAAAGCACUGUCAGCGGGGAGGCGUUACCCACAGAAGAAGCACCGGCUAACUCCGUGCCAGCAGCCGCGGUAAUUC